rnacentral:misc_RNA from 1 species
AAUACCUGUGUCUAAGUUCAAUGUUCAAAGAUCAUUUUUUUAACAUCAAUAAAUAAAAUUGUGAGAAAUCUAAUUCUCAUGAAAAAUGAAUUACAGAGUUAGUUCCAUAAAAAAAUAAUGACAAGCUUAAGGGAGGUUUGUAGAUACUUGUAAUAAAAGGAAAAUAUUUGUUUUCACGGUACUGCGUGACAAGUGACAACCAAACUAGUAAUUAUGGUGGUUAGCUCUUGGCAAUGUGGUUAAUUUCUCAUAAGGGGCAUGAGUUGAAUAUGCUUUGAUGCUCUUUCACUCACAUGAAUUUGUACCAUUAAACAAGAAAGUUUCUCUCAUUUUUCCCAUGUUCCCCCUUGCACAAUUUUUUUUUGGGUAUAGUUUUUACAUGAAAAAUGUUGCUUUCCUUCUCAAUUAAAAUAAGAAAAGCAUUUCAGAUUGUCAACUUAUCACUGGUUCUACUAUCCACUAAAAUUUCUGCAACAAAAAUGUAAAAGAUGAUCAAAGAGUAAGGGGACUUUUGAUGCUAGGUGUUGCAAAGAAAAUGUCACACUAUCCUUAAUGGGUUUCUCUAAUUACUUUACUGCUGUGUUUUAAAUUUAUAUUAGA